rnacentral:rRNA from 1 species
GGUUGGAAAUCAUUCAUAGAGUGUAAAGGCAUAAGGGAGCUUGACUGCGAGACCUACAAGUCGAGCAGGGUCGAAAGACGGACUUAGUGAUCCGGUGGUUCCGCAUGGAAGGGCCAUCGCUCAACGGAUAAAAGCUACCCCGGGGAUAACAGGCUUAUCUCCCCCAAGAGUUCACAUCGACGGGGAGGUUUGGCACCUCGAUGUCGGCUCAUCGCAUCCUGGGGCUGUAGUCGGUCCCAAGGGUUGGGCUGUUCGCCCAUUAAAGCGGUACGCGAGCUGGGUUCAGAACGUCGUGAGACAGUUCGGUCCCUAUCCGUCGUGGGCGUAGGAAAUUUGAGAGGAGCUGUCCUUAGUACGAGAGGACCGGGAUGGACAUACCUCUGGUGUACCAGUUGUCGUGCCAACGGCAUAGCUGGGUAGCUAUGUAUGGACGGGAUAAGUGCUGAAAGCAUCUAAGCAUGAAGCCCCCCUCGAGAUGAGAUUUCCCAACUUC